rnacentral:rRNA from 1 species
UACAGAGGGGGCAAGCGUUGUUCGGAAUUACUGGGCGUAAAGGGCGCGUAGGCGGCCUUCUAAGUCGGGGGUGAAAUCCUGGAGCUCAACUCCAGAACUGCCUUCGAUACUGGAAAGCUCGAGUCCGGGAGAGGUGAGUGGAACUGCGAGUGUAGAGGUGAAAUUCGUAGAUAUUCGCAAGAACACCAGUGGCGAAGGCGGCUCACUGGCCCGGUACUGACGCUGAGGUGCGAAAGCGUGGGGAGCAAACAGG